UGUCCUGUAAAUGUUCAUUUUGUUCCGAAUGUCCCCUACUCCAUGCUGGCUGCAUUAUUCUCCAUUCUAUCGCCAGGCAGGGGAGACACAUCUUUCCAAAUAACAAAAGGAUGAGUGCAGUCUGAUAAAAGAGAGGAUUUUAAUCAGAGGACUGCAAUUAAAACUCACCGUUACUAUGCAACAGUGCUGCUCAAAGGAAAGCCUGCCGUUUGUUUUCAUUCUCUUUGUCUUCCUAUCCUUCCUUUGAUUUCCUCCGAUUAAAGCCUUUUUUUAAAGGCUCCAUUUCGUUUCUUGGUGUUCCAUAAUUUUGCACUUCCCACUCCAUGCGUUUUUGAUGACAUCAUAUUUGAGAGACCAUGGCAGAAAUGAAUGCAUAAUGUUGCAAAAAUGAAGGAAAAUGUCUACCCCCGUGCGAAAGUACUCAGUUUGGAGUGAAGGUUUGAGUUUUGCAGUGUUUCUAACCUGUCUUUGAAUUUUCAGCUUUCUCAUAAUGUGUAUGAUAUAUCUAUACAUAUGUGCUUAAGACAUUAAAUAAAACACACUAUAAAUGAAAUGCACACAAUGUUGUGACCUGUGUGCGUGUGCGCGUGCGCAUGUUCACAAUAGUCGUGAUUGCGAUUUUGAGAGUCUAAACAAAACUAUAACCGUAUGUCCGUUUGUUUUAGCAAGAUUGUAGUAGGUCAAGAAAGGCACACAUACAAAUUGAUCCUAUACGGAAGAUUAUAGUAGGGCAAUACAAAAAAUAGGCACUAACUACUUUGAAAAAAAAUUCAGACAAAUAUAUUUUUGUUAUGUGCAAUUAGAUAAAAUUAAAAAUGAUUUAAUACAUAUUGUACAAAGUACAUAAAUAUCUGUUCGAAAUACGUAAAUCCCUGUUAUGUCUGAUUAGUUCCACAAUCACGCUGCGCAGUUUUCCCGCGGAGUAAAUCAUACAGAACCACAUUAGUUUCCAUGGCAGCAGCUGUGAGGAAUGACACGCCGUGACUCGACUCUCAGGCUGGUUUAAUGAAGCAGACAGACAGGGUGAAGAGCUCAGCCAUCCGCUGCUCCUCUGCAUUGGGAGGAGACAGUUGAGGUGGUUCGGACAUCUGAUAAGGAUGCCCCGCGUGGUGUCUCCCUUCGGGGGUGUACUGGUGUACUGGGCACAUCCAGCUACUGCAGCACUGUGGCUGAGAUGCACAUUCAUUACAAAUUAAAGGUCACAGUAUGUACCACUGCCAAGUGUGAUAUCCUGGGAUCCUGCUGUACUGUAUUACCUGGUUGGUGUAGCAAUGGGCACACAGAGUGGUCAUACAGCUCCGCUGCUGGUUAGGGAAAGCGGCAUGCUGCCACUGCUCAUUUCUGCUGCGGUCCACCAUUCGACCAUCCGUAGUCAUAGAGGGGGACACUUCACGUGCAGAUGGACCUUGGCCGUCCUGUGGCCUAAACUUUCUUCCACCUCUGAGUGACACUAUGGCUAGAUUAUACACUGCCCUGUGGGGCCAGUGCCCUGGUCUUUCUGUGAAAGAGUGUCUUUAUGCAACAAAAUCGGCUGCUACACACUGAACUAGAUCCCUAUUAUUAUUAUUAUUAUUACAGCUUCUCACUGCAGUCUGGAUGACAAAAACCCUGCCCUUCUUCUGUUGCAGACCCACCCCUUCAGACUGCACCAUGACCCUCUUUAGCAAUAUUCUUUCUUUCUUUUUGGGUUUUCUUUUGGGAUAAUAUUGCCAGCAUAGCUAUGUAAGGAUAGGUUAGCUGUGUGGUGGUAUUUGCUUUUGUUUUCAGUUCUAAUUGUUGGUUUGUUCAGUUAUUUUUGGGCUUAUUAAUUAUAAAUGGGCCUUUGUGCCUUCUUGGUGACAUCGCACUUGUAUUCCUGAGAUGAAGAAUGUCCUCUACUUUCGCUAGUUGCUCUGGAUAAGAGAGUUCACUAAGGGAUUGUAAUGUAAUGUAAAAUGUAUUCUCAUUAUUAUGUUCCUAUUAUUUCUUUUAAGUUUUAAAAUAUAUUAUGUACUUUUAUUUCCUUAUUCAUGGCAGGUGGUAUGCAUAAUUUGUUUAAUUAAUGGCUAGAUGUUUACUUAAAGAUGCAGUAUGUAAGUUUUUUUUUAGAACACUUUUGUUCAUAUUUGGUUAAAUCUUCUUCACAUUCUGACAAAUAUCAAUAAAUUGUAAGCUCUAAGAAAGAAAUCCAGUCCCUCUGACUGCCUCAGACUCUGCAAUCAACCACUCUAAAUUUCACAGCCCCUGAAUCUUAACAACCAAUCAGGACAGAUCUCUGCAAGGAGGCUGACCAGGAGAGCUCCCAGCCUGUCAGAGAUAUUGCUAUAGCUAGCUAGAUUUGUAGAGUUUGGACAAGAACAUUUAUUGAUAGAGCACCAUUGGUCUAGUUUAUACAAGGGCUCUGCAUCAGCGCAGUAAGGUGCGCUCUCAUUGGCGCAUGGCAAGCUGGUAAGGAGGAGUUACCAAAUACAGCCCAGCAAGCCAAGGAGGUGGGGAGUGACAGUGGGUUACAAUAUAGGCGUAGUGACGUUUAACGUGUGUGUGUGUGUGUGUGUACAUGGUUGCAGUGGGGGUGGAACUGGCAUGGCCUGAGACCUGGCCCGUUUCUGCAAGAGUGACUUCACUGACAGUGUCGGGGGGAGGCGGCCCAGAUGAGCCGAAUUAUAGCACGCUUCUGUGACAACACAUCGUGGGCUCAAAAAAAAUCAACAUCCAUUAGCAAACCC